rnacentral:rRNA from 1 species
GACGAACGCUGGCGGCGUGCUUAACACAUGCAAGUCGAACGGAAAGGCUCCAGCUUGCUGGAGUACUCGAGUGGCGAACGGGUGAGUAACACGUGGGUGAUCUGCCCUGCACUUCGGGAUAAGCCUGGGAAACUGGGUCUAAUACCGGAUAGGACCGCACUUUGGUGUGUGUGGUGGAAAGGUUUUUCUGGUGUGGGAUGAGCUCGCGGCCUAUCAGUUUGUUGGUGGGGUAAUGGCCUACCAAGACGGCGACGGGUAGCCGGCCUGAGAGGGUGGACGGUCACAUUGGGACUGAGAUACGGCCCAGACUCCUACGGGAGGCAGCAGUGGGGAAUAUUGCACAAUGGGGGAAACCCUGAUGCAGCGACGCCGCGUGGGGGAUGAAGGCCUUCGGGUUGUAAAAUCCUUUCGCUAGGGACGAAGCUUUUUGUGACGGUACCUGGAGAAGAAGCACCGGCUAACUACGUG